AGAGUUUGAUCCUGGCUCAGGACGAACGCUGGCGGCGCGCCUAACACAUGCAAGUCGAACGAGCGAGAGAGAGCUUGCUUUCUCGAGCGAGUGGCGAACGGGUGAGUAACGCGUGAGGAACCUGCCUCAAAGAGGGGGACAACAGUUGGAAACGACUGCUAAUACCGCAUAAGCCCACGGCUCGGCAUCGAGCAGAGGGAAAAGGAGCAAUCCGCUUUGAGAUGGCCUCGCGUCCGAUUAGCUAGUUGGUGAGGUAACGGCCCACCAAGGCGACGAUCGGUAGCCGGACUGAGAGGUUGAACGGCCACAUUGGGACUGAGACACGGCCCAGACUCCUACGGGAGGCAGCAGUGGGGAAUAUUGCACAAUGGGGGAAACCCUGAUGCAGCGACGCCGCGUGGAGGAAGAAGGUCUUCGGAUUGUAAACUCCUGUUGUUGAGGAAGAUAAUGACGGUACUCAACAAGGAAGUGACGGCUAACUACGUGCCAGCAGCCGCGGUAAAACGUAGGUCACAAGCGUUGUCCGGAAUUACUGGGUGUAAAGGGAGCGCAGGCGGGAAGACAAGUUGGAAGUGAAAUCCAUGGGCUCAACCCAUGAACUGCUUUCAAAACUGUUUUUCUUGAGUAGUGCAGAGGUAGGCGGAAUUCCCGGUGUAGCGGUGGAAUGCGUAGAUAUCGGGAGGAACACCAGUGGCGAAGGCGGCCUACUGGGCACCAACUGACGCUGAGGCUCGAAAGUGUGGGUAGCAAACAGGAUUAGAUACCCUGGUAGUCCACACCGUAAACGAUGAUUACUAGGU
rnacentral:rRNA from 1 species